rnacentral:rRNA from 1 species
UACAGAGGGUGCGAGCGUUAAUCGGAUUUACUGGGCGUAAAGCGUGUGUAGGCGGUUUGUUAAGUCGGGUGUGAAAUCCCUGGGCUCAACCUGGGAAUUGCAUUCGAUACUGGCAAGCUAGAGUACGGUAGAGGGCGGCGGAAUUCCUGGUGUAGCGGUGAAAUGCGCAGAUAUCAGGAGGAACACCAAUGGCGAAGGCAGCUCGCUGGAACGGUACUGACGCUGAGGCGCGAAAGCGUGGGGAGCGAACAGG